GAAAUUAAAAGGACGCGGUAACCUUGACCGUGAUAAUGUAGCAUAAUCAUUCGCCAUUUAAUUGAUGGAUAGUAUGAAUGGUUGAACGAAUAUUCCACUGUCUUAAAAAGAAAUACCAAAAAAUUAGAAUAAUAGUAAAGAUUCUAUUUAAAAUUGUAAGACGAAAAGACCCUAUAGAGCUUGACUAUAAAUUUUCUUUAUAACACAUUUAAAAAAGAAAGUCUGGUAGUUUAGUUGGGGCGACUGUCUUUUAAAAAUAACAAAGACAAGCAAAAAUUAAUACUAAAAUUUAUUGUAUAAUUAAUAAAUUUAACAAUUACAAAAGUAGGCUAUAAUGACCCGUUAUUAUUAAAUAAGAAAAAUAACGAUCAAUAAAUAAAAGCUACCUUAGGGAUAACAGGAUAAUUUUAUUCUAGAGAUCUAAUCGAAAAUAAAGUUUGUCACCUCUAUGUUGAAUUAAGA
rnacentral:rRNA from 1 species